rnacentral:rRNA from 1 species
CCUACGGGAGGCAGCAGUAGGGAAUUUUCGGCAAUGGGGGGAACCCUGACCGAGCAACGCCGCGUGAACGAAGAAGUUAUUCGCAAUGUAAAGUUCUUUUAACAGGGAAGAAAGAGAAAUUUGACGGUACCUGAAGAAUAAGCUCCGGCUAACUACGUGCCAGCAGCCGCGGUAAGACGUAGGGAGAGAGCGUUAUCCGGAAUCAUUGGGCGUAAAGGGUGUGAAGAUGGCAUAGUAAGUCUUUUGGAAAAAUGCUGGGCUCAACCCAGAAGGGCAAAAGAUACUGCAAAGCUAGAGUAUGACAGAGGCAGGUGGAACUACAGGUGUAGCGGUAAAAUGCGUAAAUAUAUGUAAGAACACCAGUGGCGAAGGCGGCUUGCUGGAUCGUUACUGACAUUGAGGCACGAAAGCGUGGGGAGCAAACAGGAUUAGAUACCCUGGUAGUC